ACACGCAUGACACACUGCAUAUCAAUAAGCGGAGGAAAAGAAACUAACAAGGAUUCCCUUAGUAACGGCGAGUGAAGCGGGAAGAGCUCAAAUUUGAAAUCUUCAAGGUUCUACCUUGACGAAUUGUAGUUUAUAGAAGUGUUUUCUGUUAGUAGAGUGGCAAAAGUUCUUUGGAAUAGGACAUCAUAGAGGGUGAGAAUCCCGUAUUUGGUCAUUCUUUCUAGCUUUGUGAUACACUUUCAACGAGUCGGAUUGUUUGGGAAUGCAGUCCAAAAUGGGUGGUAAAUUUCAUCUAAAGCUAAAUAUUGGCGAGAGACCGAUAGCGAACAAGUACCGUGAGGGAAAGAUGAAAAGAACUUUGAAAAGAGAGUUAAACAGUACGUGAAAUUGUCAAAAGGGAAGCGUUUGACACCUAGUGUUGUUUUUCCGAAAAUCAAUUACGAAUGUUUUGUUUUUGAGGAGUUAUGACUUCAUCGGCUUGCUCCUUUCUUUAUCGAAACUUUCUUAAUGCACUUUUCGGUUAACAAGUCAACAUCAAUUUCUUUUGUUGUAAAAGAGUAUGAGGAAGGUGGCUUUCUUUUCGGAGAAAGUGUUUAUAGCCUUGUACUUCUGCAAUCGGAGAGAUUGAGGUCUGCAGCGUAGAUCCUUCGGGGUUAGAUACACUUGUGCUAAGUUAUAGCUUUUCAUAGACAACUUGUUGACUAUGUUUAGUCUUGUGGCUUACCCGCUUAUGCUAUUUUACCUACGCUUAGGAUGUUGAGUAGCGACAUACGCAC
rnacentral:rRNA from 1 species